UAAACUGUGAUAUGUAGUCGAGAUAUC
rnacentral:piRNA from 1 species